GAUGAACGCUGGCGGCGUGCCUAACACAUGCAAGUCGAGCGAACAGACGAGGAGCUUGCUUCUCUGACGUUAGCGGCGGACGGGUGAGUAACACGUGGAUAACCUACCUAUAAGACUGGGAUAACUUCGGGAAACCGGAGCUAAUACCGGAUAAGAUAUUGAACCGCAGGGUUCAAUAGUGAAAGACGGAUUUGCUGUCACUUAUAGAUGGAUCCGCGCCGCAUUAGCUAGUUGGUAAGGUAACGGCUUACCAAGGCAACGAUGCGUAGCCGACCUGAGAGGAUGAUCCGCCACACUGGAACUGAGACACGGUCCAGACUCCUACGGGAGGCAGCAGUAGGGAAUAUUGCGCAAUGGGCGAAAGCCUGACGGAGCCACGCCGCGUGAGUGAAGAAGGUCUUCGGAUCGUAAAGCACUGUUAUUAGGGAGGAACAAAUGUGUAAGUAACUAUGCACGUCUUGACGGUACCUAAUCAGAAAGCCACGGCUAACUACGUG
rnacentral:rRNA from 1 species